ACGUAGGGUGCGAGCGUUAAUCGGAAUUACUGGGCGUAAAGCGUGCGCAGGCGGUGAUGUAAGACAGAUGUGAAAUCCCCGGGCUCAACCUGGGAACUGCGUUUGUGACUGCAUCACUUGAGUACGGGAGAGGGAGGUGGAAUUCCGGGUGUAGCAGCGGAAUGCGUAGAUAUGCGGAGGAACACCGAUGGCGAAGGCAGCCUCCUGGGCCAGUACUGACGCUCAGGUGCGAAAGCGUGGGGAGCAAACAG
rnacentral:rRNA from 1 species